rnacentral:ncRNA from 1 species
GUGUUAUAUGAAAGGAGAGAAGGUUAGCACUCCCCUUGACAAGGACGGAAUGGCCUCUGGGCCUAUAACACACAUACGGUUAAGGCACACCCGCUUACUUUGCGGGAAUCUUAACCAAAUUUUUUU